UGGAAGCACAACAUACAGCGGCCGUGAGACUAUUUUCUCCUGAACAUUCAAGAUCUCGCCUAACAAGCACACAUCAACUCAUCCCAAGGAAUUGCACAGCAGUUGAAAGGCUCAUUCUUGAACAGCUGGGUGAACUUCACCUUAAAGUGGACCGCUUAACAGCUGCACUACAGUCAAUUGUUGGAAACGGAGCUCCUAAUCCAACACCUCAGGGCAACGACUAUGAC